UUUAGAGUUUGGAUCUGGCUCAGAACGAACGCUGGCGGCAGGCUUAACACAUGCAAGUCGAACGCUCCGCAAGGAGAGUGGCAGACGGGUGAGUAACACGUGGGAACGUACCCUUUACUACGGAACAACUCCGGGAAACUGGAGCUAAUACCGUAUGUGCCCUUCGGGGGAAAGAUUUAUCGGUAAAGGAUCGGCCCGCGUUGGAUUAGCUAGUUGGUGGGGUAAAGGCCUACCAAGGCGACGAUCCAUAGCUGGUCUGAGAGGAUGAUCAGCCACAUUGGGACUGAGACACGGCCCAAACUCCUACGGGAGGCAGCAGUGGGGAAUAUUGGACAAUGGGCGCAAGCCUGAUCCAGCCAUGCCGCGUGUGUGAUGAAGGCCUUAGGGUUGUAAAGCACUUUCACCGGAGAAGUAUAAUGACGGUAUCCGGAGAAGAAGCACCGUCU
rnacentral:rRNA from 1 species